rnacentral:rRNA from 1 species
AGCUUCAUGGACGAAGUCUGAUGGAGCACGCCGCGUGAGUGAAGAAGGUUUUCGGAUCGUAAAACUCUGUUGUAAGGGAAGAACAAGUGCAGUAGUAACUGGCUGCACCUUGACGGUACCUUAUUAGAAAGCCACGGCUAACUACGUGCCAGCAGCCGCGGUAAUACGUAGGUGGCAAGCGUUGUCCGGAUUUAUUGGGCGUAAAGCGCGCGCAGGCGGUUUCUUAAGUCUGAUGUGAAAGCCCCCGGCUUAACCGGGGAGGGUCAUUGGAAACUGGGAGACUUGAGUGCAGAAGAGGAAAGUGGAAUUCCAAGUGUAGCGGUGAAAUGCGUAGAGAUUUGGAGGAACACCAGUGGCGAAGGCGACUUUCUGGUCUGUAACUGACGCUGAGGCGCGAAAGCGUGGGGAGCAAACAGGAUUAGAUACCCUGGUAGUCCACGCCGUAAACGAUGAGUGCUAAGUGUUAGGGGGUUUCCGCCCCUUAGUGCUGCAGCUAACGCAUUAAGCACUCCGCCUGGGGAGUACGGUCGCAAGACUGAAACUCAAAUGAAAUUGACGGA